UCCGAGUUAGCUCAGUUGGUAGAGCAGCUGACUGUUAAUCAGCGGGUCGCUGGUUCGAGUCCAGCACUCGGAG
rnacentral:tRNA from 1 species